rnacentral:rRNA from 1 species
GACGAACGCUGGCGGCGUGCUUAACACAUGCAAGUCGAACGCUGAAGCCCAGCUUUUGUUGGGUGGAUGAGUGGCGAACGGGUGAGUAACACGUGAGUAACCUGCCCCCUUCUUUGGGAUAACGCCCGGCAACGGGUGCUAAUACUGGAUAUUCACUGGUCUUCGCAUGGGGGUUGGUGGAAAGGGUUUUUCUGGGGGGGGUUGGGCUCGCGGCCUGUCAGCUUGUUGGUGGGGUGAUGGCCUACCAAGGGUUUGACGGGUAGAAGGCCUGGGAGGGUGACCGGUCACAGAGGGACUGCGACAACGCCGAGACUGCUACGCGGGGCAGAAGUGGGGGAUAUGGCGCAAUGGGGGCAAGUGUGAUGCAGCGGCGACGCGGGAGGGAUGGAGGCGUGCGGGUUGUGAACCUCUUUCGCUCAUGGUCAAGCCGCAACAAUGGUUGUGGUGAGGGUAGUGGGUAAAGAAGCGCCGGCUAACUACGUG